rnacentral:lncRNA from 1 species
UUUAUUGGGGGGGGGGAAUCCAAAAAAUUUGGGGUCGGAAUCGCAAAAUUUGGGGUCGGGGUACAAAAAAUGGGGCUGGGGUCCCGAAAUUUGGGGUCGGAAUCACAAAAUUUAGGGCUAGGACCCCGAAAUUUGGGGUCAAGGUCCCAAAAUUUGGGUCCAGAACCUCAAAAUUUGGGGUCGGAAUCACAAAAUUUGGGGCUGGGGUCCCAAAAUUUGGGGUCAGAAUGAGAAAAUUUGGGGUCGGGGUCCCAAAAUUUGGGUUCAGAAGCCUAAAAAUGGGGCUGGGGUCCCAAAAAUGGGGUUGGGGUCCAAAAAUUUGGGGUCAGAACUUCAAAAUUUGGGGUCGGGGUCCCAGAAAUGGGGCUGGGGUCCCAAAAUUUGGGAUCAGAACCCCAAAAUUUGGGAUUGGGACCCCAAAAUCUGAGAUUAAACCCCAAAAUUUGGGUUCAGAACCCCAAAAUUUGGGUUAAGGACCCCAAAUUUGGGGCCGGGGUAACAAAAUCGGGUCCAGAACCCCAAAAUUUGGGGCUGGGGUCCCAAAAAUUGGAACAGGUGACCCCUGGUGUGGUCAGUGUCCAUUUUAAUGUCCACUCUGUGUCCACUCUGUGUCCACUCUGUGUCCACUCCAUUCAUUUCUGGAUGGUCAGUUGGUCACUCCCAUGUGGUCAGUUGGUCAGUGGCCAUUCCUGGCUGGUCACUCAGUGGUCAGCGGUCACUCCAUGGUCAUUCUCAGGCCAGCACGUGGUCACUCAGUGGUCACUCAGUGGUCACUCUCAGGCCAGCCUAUGGUUACUCU